rnacentral:rRNA from 1 species
UACGUAGGGGGCAAGCGUUGUCCGGAUUUAUUGGGCGUAAAGAGCGUGUAGGCGGCCAGGUAGGUCCGUUGUGAAAACUCGAGGCUUAACCUCGAGACGUCGAUGGAAACCAUCUGGCUAGAGUCCGGAAGAGGAGAGUGGAAUUCCUGGUGUAGCGGUGAAAUGCGCAGAUAUCAGGAAGAACACCCGUGGCGAAGGCGGACGCUGGCGAACACUGACGCUGAGGAGCGAAGACAUGGGGAGCGAACAGG